AUUGAACGCUGGCGGCAUGCUUUACACAUGCAAGUCGAACGGCAGCGCGGGGCAACCUGGCGGCGAGUGGCGAACGGGUGAGUAAUACAUCGGAACGUACCCAGAAGUGGGGGAUAACGUAGCGAAAGUUACGCUAAUACCGCAUACGUUCUACGGAAGAAAGUGGGGGACCUUCGGGCCUCAUGCUUUUGGAGCGGCCGAUGUCUGAUUAGCUAGUUGGUGAGGUAAAGGCUCACCAAGGCGACGAUCAGUAGCUGGUCUGAGAGGACGACCAGCCACACUGGGACUGAGACACGGCCCAGACGCCUACGGGAGGCAGCAGUGGGGAAUUUUGGACAAUGGGCGCAAGCCUGAUCCAGCAAUGCCGCGUGAGUGAAGAAGGCCUUCGGGUUGUAAAGCUCUUUUGUCAGGGAAGAAACGGCUGGGGUUAAUACCUUCGGCUAAUGACGGUACCUGAAGAAUAAGCACCGGCUAACUACGUGCCAGCAGCCGCCGUAAGAC
rnacentral:rRNA from 1 species